GAUGAACGCUGGCGGCGUGCUUAACACAUGCAAGUCGAACGAGAAAUGUAGACGGAAACCUUCGGGCGGAAGCCUUCAUUUCGAGUGGCGGACGGGUGAGUAACGCGUGGGUAACCUGCCUCAUACAGGGGGAUAACAGUUGGAAACGACUGUUAAUACCGCAUAAGACCACAGCAUCGCAUGAUGCGGGGGUAAAAACUCCGGUGGUAUGAGAUGGACCCGCGUUCGAUUGGCCAGUUGGCGGGGUAACGGCCCACCAAAGCGACGAUCGAUAGCCGAUCUGAGAGGAUGACCGGCCACAUUGGGACUGAGACACGGCCCAAACUCCUACGGGAAGCAGCAGUGGGGAAUAUUGCACAAUGGGGGAAACCCUGAUGCAGCGACGCCGCGUGAGUGAAGAAGUACUUCGGUAUGUAAAGCUCUAUCAGCAGGGAAGAAAAUGACGGUACCUGAGGAAGAAGCCCCGGCUAACUACGUG
rnacentral:rRNA from 1 species